UGAAGCCUGACUGUACUUCAGCCUUUGCUUCCAAGAGGUACUUCUGUUUUCUAUAGUAAACUCCUGUUCUUGGCUUCAGGUAGUAUGAGUCGAUUUCUAUUACUCAUGUAAACAAGGUAUGAAGGUUUGCUCUGUUUGGAUGUAAAACUGAACUCAGUUUCUCUUUGUUCCCUUAGCAAAGGUUUAUCCCGCUCUGUGGGGGAGAGCAGCUCCCUUAGAGAAGUAAACAUUUUAACUCCCUUUCAGGCAGUGGAAAUCGGAGAACUAUAUCUAAACACUGGGUUCUCUUUGCCCAUGAGAAAGGAAAACUGCUCAUUUUUUCUUGACAUUCAGCGCUUUUCCUCAUUUAGAAUCAAGGGCUGAUAUGAAAGAAAAAAACAGGGAUUUUUGGUGUGGAAAGGAGCUUGGCUUCAGAACUGGAGGAGACUGGAGGGAAAUAUUGAAGCUAAUUGAGGAUUCUGGAAAUGGAGCCAUUUUCCAGGAAGCAGCAGCUUAUCUCAACUCAGGCAAAGGACCUGGCAGGCAAAGCAUCCUAAGAUGGAGACUGAAACUACCCUUCAGGACAAUAACAACUGUCCUGACUCCAGCAAGACCGAGUGUGAUUGACCCCAAGAAAACGAUCAACCUGACCUCUACUGGCCACCUGCCACCCACCAACAUUUGCCCCACAUUUUCCUUAUAUAAACCUGGAAGUAUUUUCAGCUCUUGGAGUCAGUCCGUUGUCUUCCCGGUGUUGGUCUCACUGAAAUGAAUUCCUUUUUGGUUACACGGCCACUCGUUUGUGAACUGCGGAUGGCCCACCCUCGUCUUUUUGGGACCCUCAGAGCCAAGUGGUUACAAUUUUAAGUGUACAAUUAGUGGUUUUUAACAUAUUCACUGCAUUGUGCAACCCUCGCCACUAUUGUGCAGGUAUUAUUAAUUUACAUAAAGGUAUUUUUUGUUGUCAUUCUGUUUCUAUUUUUGUCAAUUGCCAUUUUUAAAAAAUCCAUCCGUGCUGCUGCGCCCA
rnacentral:lncRNA from 1 species